GGGUUGCUCCUGAUUCAGUCCAGUUCUUGCGAACUGGUAGUAACGAUGGCGGGAGGCUCCGCCUACCCACCCAGACGUCAUCACGAACGAUCUGCACAUGUGCAGAAGCGCAGGCGCUCCCAUUGCACACCGGUAGCGGAGACAUCAUAUUCUGAAGAAGAAGAAUCUUCUCCUAGAUGUUCACCAAUAGAAGAUAAAUAGUGCCAGGAAUCAGACUUAACACAUAAAGGUGUGCAGUGCAUCAGAUCCAAAGCAGGAAAAGUACUUCAGAUCUACAACAAACAUGCUCUUGGUGUCAACUGGUGGGUAAUUAAAGAGCUAAGUGGUCUUAGGAAAAUAUGUUUGAAUUAA